CGCAUGCCUGCUUCCGCUCGGCCCGGCCCGCCGCACCGCUCUGUCCCGGCUGAGAGCUGGUCCCCGCCGCACCGAAUCACUCUCCCAUUCUGUCCGGUCGCUCUUGGGGCUGCUGCCGCGGACUCCGGCGGCGCAGGGUACAAGAAAUGUUAAGACAUAAAGGCCACUGUAUAAAUCAAGAAAGAAAGUAAAUCUUCACAGAAAAUCAUAGGAAAGAUGAAAACUAGGACCAAACUUCAGGUAUUCUUAGGAAUUUUGUUUUCUCGGAGAACUGAACAUUGUGUGUUGCUUUCCCAUUGGAAACACAUGAGCUAAGCUAAUAAAGGCUUGAAUAUCUUGCGUAGAUUUCUUCACUGGAACAUUUUCUUCAGCUUCCUCUUCACCAAAAUCCUCGUUUUGAGGCUGGGGAUGUUGUUUGGAUGGCCAAGUGCUUGAAUGUUUUCACUGUACAAAGGAGAGAAACAAAGGUACUGACUGAGUGGUUAAAGCACGUGGUGCAAGCCUGAGGACCGAUGUUCAGAUCCCCAAACCCGUAUGAAAGCCAAGUGGAUAUGACAGCACAUCUCCAAUUCCAGCACUUGGAAGAUGGAGACAGGAUUCCAGACGCAUGGUCGCCAGACCAGACCUAUCGGCAAGCUCUGAGUUCAGUUGAGAGUCCCUUUCUCAACACAUAAGAUGGAGAGCCAUUGAAGAGGACUCCCCAUAUCAACCUUGGGCCUCUACAGGCAUGUGCACACACACACUCAUGCACUACACACUCACAUGUGUCAUGAACACACACAUGAAAAAGAAAAGAAAAACCAUAAGUAUGUCUAUUAAACUUGUGAAUUACAGCACAGAAAAGAAAAAAUUAAAAAUUUCUUUUCAGAAACCAGAAAGCCUACAAAAGGACACACGUUGGUCCAGUGGCUAUCCAAACAAAUAUGGAGAAAUUCGUGAAAACCACUUCCAAUAUUGUAUUGCUCUAACCCAAAAUUCUUGAGGAAAAAUAAAACGCCCAAAAUGACCGUUCUAUGUAAACUGAAUAAAAAUAAGGCAUAAUUUUGGGUAAAAAUCCUUUGAGUCAGAUGGAAUUAGUUCAACUACUAAAAACAAAUCUGGUCCUGAAUUAGUAAACAGAUGAUUCACAAAUGCUACUUGUGUGAAACUGAUGUAGAACACCAAUCACCUACUUUAGGUAUCCUGAGUUUUCUGGAAAUCAUUUUUUUGCCUUUUAAAAAUAUUUUGUUUAUUAUUUUUAUUUUAUAUGCAUGACUAUAUUGCCUCCAUGUAUAUAAGUAAACCUGUGUUGUGCAAUAUCAUCGGAGGUCAGAAGAGUGUGUCAGA